UACGUAGGGUGCGAGCGUUGUCCGGAAUUAUUGGGCGUAAAGAGCUUGUAGGCGGUUUGUCGCGUCUGCUGUGAAAAUCCGGGGCUCAACCCCGGACUUGCAGUGGGUACGGGCAGACUGGAGUGUGGUAGGGGAGACUGGAAUUCCUGGUGCAGCGGUGGAAUGCGCAGAUAUCAGGAGGAACACCGGCGGCGAAGGCGGCACUCUGGGCCGGUACUGACGCUGAGGAGCGAAAGCGUGGGUAGCAAACAGG
rnacentral:rRNA from 1 species